rnacentral:misc_RNA from 1 species
AACGCAUAUUGCGCUCGAGCCCUCGGGCAAGAGCAUGUCUGCCUCAGCGUCGGUUUACACCCUCACCCCUCCCACUUUGUUGGGUUAGUUGACAUCUUGUCAGCUCAGGGGUGGAUCUGGCUUCCCCAAUCUGCCGUAUGGUGGGUUGGGUUUGCUGAAGGAUAGAGGCUUAAGCAAGGACCCGAUACGGGCUUCAACUGGAUAGGUAGUACCGGCUUAUGCCGACUACACGAAGUUGUGGCUUGUGGAUCUUGCUAGGGGCCAGCAGGAACGUGCCUAUGGCAUGUCUAAACUUUCGACCUGAGCUCAGGCAAGGCUACCCGCUGAACUUAA